GUGGGGAAUUUUGGACAAUGGGCGCAAGCCUGAUCCAGCCAUGCCGCGUGAGUGAAGAAGGCCUUCGGGUUGUAAAGCUCUUUCGGUGAAGACGAAACGGUUCGUGCUAAUAACGCGGACUAAUGACGGUACUCACAGAAGAAGCACCGGCUAACUACGUGCCAGCAGCCGCGGUAAUACGUAGGGUGCAGGCGUUAAUCGGAAUUACUGGGCGUAAAGCGUGCGCAGGCGGUUUGCUAAGACAGGUGUGAAAUCCCCGAGCUUAACUUGGGAAUUGCGCUUGUAACUGGCAAGCUAGAGUGUAGCAGAGGGGGGUGGAAUUCCACGUGUAGCAGUGAAAUGCGUAGAUAUGUGGAGGAACACCGAUGGCGAAGGCAGCCCCCUGGGUUAACACUGACGCUCAUGCACGAAAGCGUGGGGAGCAAA
rnacentral:rRNA from 1 species